rnacentral:rRNA from 1 species
GACGAACCGUGCGAACGUUGUUCGGAUUCACUGGGCUUAAAGGGCGCGUAGGCGGUCGACCAAGUCUGGGGUGAAAUCUUUCGGCUCAACCGGAAAAGUGCCCCCGAUACUGGCCGGCUAGAGGGAGAUAGGGGCAUGCGGAACUUCCGGUGGAGCGGUGAAAUGCGUAGAUAUCGGAAGGAACGCCGGUGGCGAAGGCGGUUCUCUGGGCCUUACCUGACGCUGAGGAGCGAAAGCGUGGGGAGCAAACAGG